rnacentral:other from 1 species
UGUCUCCUGCGGUGUUCGAUGAUGGCUAGGGAAUCUCUCGACCCUAAAUUUUAAUAUCGGGAUUAUGCAUUGAUAGCAGCAUUUGAGCAUGACUAAUCUUAGAAAGCCUGUUGUUGCUCUUGUUGAACCCACCUAAAGCUCUGGUUUGAGAGCGAUAGUCAAUAACGGCACAUGCGGGAGACGC